UACGUAGGGGGCAAGCGUUGUCCGGAAUUAUUGGGCGUAAAGAGCGUGUAGGCGGUCCGGUAAGUCAGCUGUGAAAGUCAAGGGCUCAACCCUUGAAUGCCGGUUGAUACUGUCGGGCUAGAGUCCGGAAGAGGCGAGUGGAAUUCCCGGUGUAGCGGCGAAAUGCGCAGAUAUCAGGAGGAACACCGAUGGCGAAGGCAGCUCGCUGGGACGGUACUGACGCUGAGACGCGAAAGCGUGGGGAGCAAACAGG
rnacentral:rRNA from 1 species